rnacentral:rRNA from 1 species
GCCCUAGUAACGGCGAGUGAAGCGGCAACAGCUCAAAUUUGAAAUCUGGCGUCUUUGGCGUCCGAGUUGUAAUUUGCAGAGGGCGCUUUGGCAUUGGCAGCGGUCCAAGUUCCUUGGAACAGGACGUCACAGAGGGUGAGAAUCCCGUACGUGGUCGCUAGCCUUUACCGUGUAAAGCCCCUUCGACGAGUCGAGUUGUUUGGGAAUGCAGCUCUAAAUGGGAGGUAAAUUUCUUCUAAAGCUAAAUACUGGCCAGAGACCGAUAGCGCACAAGUAGAGUGAUCGAAAGAUGAAAAGCACUUUGGAAAGAGAGUUAAAAAGCACGUGAAAUUGUUGAAAGGGAAGCGCUUGCAGCCAGACUUGCCUGUAGUUGCUCAUCCGGGUUUUUACCCGGUGCACUCUUCUAUAGGCAGGCCAGCAUCAGUUUGGGCGGUUGGAUAAAGGUCUCUGUCAUGUACCUCUCUUCGGGGAGAACUUAUAGGGGAGACGACAUGCAACCAGCCUGGACUGAGGUCCGCGCAUCUGCUAGGAUGCUGGCGUAAUGGCUGUAAGCGGCCCGUCUUGAAACACGGACCAAGGAGUCUAACAUCUAUGCGAGUGUUUGGGUGUCAAGCCCGAGCGCGUAAUGAAAGUGAACGGAGGUGGGAACCCCUCGGGGUGCACCAUCGACCGAUCCUGAUGUCUUCGGAUGGAUUUGAGUAAGAGCAUAGCUGUUGGGACCCGAAAGAUGGUGAACUAUGCUUGAAUAGGGUGAAGCCAGAGGAAACUCUGGUGGAGGCUCGCAGCGGUUCUGACGUGCAAAUCGAUCGUCAAAUUUGGGCAUAGGGGCGAAAGAC